rnacentral:sRNA from 1 species
CUGGACCAGUACUCGGAGGAUUUCUGUCAACCUCCGGACUUCCCCUGCCUCAAGCAGCUGGUGGCCUACGUGCAGCUCAACAUGCCAGGCUCAGACCUGGAGCGCCGUGCCCACCUUCUCCUGGCCCAGCUGGAGCACUCGGAACCCACUGAGGCAGAGCCUGAGGCUCUGUCACCAGUGCCAGCUCUAAAACCAACUCCAGAGCUCGAGCUAGCUCUAACACCAGCUCGAGCACCCAGCCCAGUGCCAGCUCCAGCCCCAGAGCCAGCUCCAACACCAGCUCCAGGUUCAGAGCUAGAAGUAGCUCCAGCACCAGCUCCAGAGCUCCAGCAGGCUCCAGAGCCAGCUGUGGGACUGGAACUGGCUCCAGCGCCAGCUCUGGAACUAGAGCCAGCUCCAGAACAGGAUCCAGCUCCCUCACAAACUCUAGAGCUGGAGCCAGCUCCAGCGCCAGUUCCAUCAUCAGAGCCUUCGUGGCCUUCACCUGUGGUUGCAGAGAACGGGCUGAGUGAAGAGAAGCCUCACCUCUUGGCGUUCCCUCCCGAUCUGGUGGCAGAGCAGUUUACACUGAUGGAUGCGGAACUGUUCAAGAAGGUGGUGCCCUACCACUGCCUGGGCUCCAUCUGGUCCCAGCGGGACAAGAAGGGCAAGGAGCACCUGGCGCCCACCAUCCGCGCCACCGUCACCCAGUUCAACAGUGUGGCCAACUGCGUCAUCACCACCUGCCUCGGGGACCGAAGCACGAAAGCCCCAGACAGGGCCAGGGUGGUGGAGCACUGGAUCGAGGUGGCCAGGGAGUGCCGGAUCCUCAAGAACUUCUCGUCACUGUAUGCCAUCCUCUCUGCCCUGCAGAGCAACUCUAUCCACCGUCUGAAGAAGACGUGGGAAGACGUUUCCAGGGACAGUUUCCGGAUCUUUCAGAAGCUGUCGGAGAUCUUCUCAGAUGAGAACAACUACUCAUUGAGCCGGGAGCUGCUCAUCAAGGAGGGGACCUCCAAGUUUGCCACCCUGGAGAUGAACCCCAAGAGAGCCCAGAAACGGCCAAAGGAGACGGGCAUCAUCCAGGGCACCGUUCCCUACCUGGGCACAUUCCUCACCGACCUGGUGAUGCUGGACACCGCCAUGAAGGACUAUCUGUAUGGCAGACUCAUCAACUUCGAGAAGAGGAGGAAGGAGUUCGAGGUGAUCGCCCAGAUCAAGCUGCUGCAGUCGGCCUGCAACAACUACAGCAUCGCGCCAGAUGAGCAAUUUGGGGCCUGGUUCCGGGCCGUGGAGCGGCUCAGCGAGACUGAGAGCUACAACCUGUCGUGUGAGCUGGAGCCCCCAUCCGAGUCAGCCAGCAACACCCUCAGGACCAAGAAGAACACAGCCAUUGUCAAGCGCUGGAGCGACCGCCAGACCCCCAGCACUGAGCUCAGUACCAGUGGCAGCUCCCACUCCAAGUCCUGUGACCAGCUCAGGUGUGGCCCCUACCUCAGCAGCGGGGACAUUGCUGACGCACUCAGCGUGCACUCGGCCGGCUCCUCUAGCUCCGAUGUGGAGGAGAUCAACAUCAGCUUCGUCCCGGAGUCUCCUGAUGGCCAGGAAAAGAAGGUGACUGCCUGCCCUUCUCCCCAGUAUCCUUUCCCAUCUCCCCACUCCAAAUCCAUGCACGUGGCCAGGAAGCCCUGGAUCCUGAACACAGCUUCUAGAAGGUUCCCCAUCUGGCAGCUGGCCUGGGGUGCCCCCACAGGGCAGGGGGAUCUGCUGAUCAUACCGUCUCCCUCAGUUCUGGGAAUCAGCCUCACAGUCAUCUCCGGAGACCUCCGGCAUCAGCUCGGCCUCCAGCAGCACCUCGUCCUCCUCAGCCUCCACCACACCCGUGGCUGCCACGCGCACCCACAAGCGCUCCGUCUCAGGGCUCUGCAACUCCAGCUCCGCGCUGCCGCUCUACAACCAGCAGGUGGGCGACUGCUGUAUCAUCCGCGUCAGCCUGGACGUGGACAACGGCAACAUGUACAAGAGCAUCCUGGUAAGCCGGGUGGGCGGCCUGGGUCCCUCCCUCCACUGGCGGCAAAUGCACCUUGAACACAGUGCACCAUCUCUGCCCUCCCGGGGCCCACCUUGUAGUUGAGGGGGGAAGGACAGAUGUCAGCCAGGUACAGAAAUGAAGAAGGUAGUGAUCAGGGACAAGGCUGGCCUGAGGGCAGAGGGGGAGGGAAGGAGUGGCCGUGCAGAGCUCCCAGGAGACGAAGGGGCGGUGCUGCGGGGGAGAUGAGGUCCGGGAAGUAUCCGGGGCCUGGCCACGUAGGCCCUGAGCACUGCCAGGACCUCGACUUUCUCGGGGAGGAAGACAGGAGCAAUGAUGGCUGGCUUCUCUGUCUGGCGUGGGCUGGUACCACAGCCACAGGGGUGUUGGUUAGGAGGCCGCUGUGGCAACCAGGCUGGGAGCCCUGGAAGGGGCCAGCAGGGUCAGAGUCUGGAUAGGAUUUGGAGACAGCCGAUGGGAAUUGCUCACAGAAUGGGUUUGCCUGGGGGCUCUUUCUUCAUCCUCCAGGUGUUCUGCGACAGAUGAACCAUUUGUAACCCCCACCCUCUGUACCCCAGCCCUGGGUCAGGUACCCCAUUAUUCACACACCCUCCCAACCCCUCGUUGCCAGGAGCUAGCAUGGUUGUCAUUAAGCAGUCACUUGUGGCCCUAUGUCCAAGUUCCGCCUGUGCUCUGGCCCUCAGGGUCAAGGUAGCAGGGGCCUGGCCUGUGCUCACCACACUGAGCAUCCUGGCUGGCCCCUCCUUUCUUAUCUCCAGGGCUUAGACUAGGGACUGUCUGUUCCCCAGGCUCAAUGAUGCUGUUAUCCUGGAGAGGCAAGUGCUGCCCAAGGAAGUGUGGGAGGAGGGAACAGGCUCUUAUAGGAGAGGCAGGGUAGGCACUGCUGGGACAGACCCCUCCUCAUUCCACGGAGGCCUCACGUGGGGAGCAGGAGAAGGACGGAGGCCUCACUUGGGGAGCAGGAGAAUGUGACAAGGCCCUCUCCGGACCCAGCACCUGGCCAGAGGCUGUGAGUGCCUGUGCUUAGUGCUGAGGGGACUCCAGAGGGUCCUUGGCCACUGCACUCUGGGGGAGCCGCUCCAGGGUCUUCUCCCUGAUGGUCCAUCCCCCGCCGCGAUGCAGGUGACCAGCCAAGAUAAGGCUCCAGCCGUAAUCCGCAAGGCCAUGGACAAACACAACCUGGAGGAGGAGGAGCCGGAGGACUAUGAGCUGCUGCAGAUUCUCUCAGAUGACCGGAGUAAGUCAGAAGACCAGAGGGCGAUGGCGGAGGGGGCAGGUCCGCACCACUCCCCUCCCCAGGUUGGAAGGCUUUGGCCCCAGAAAAUUCACCAGCAGAGUGUGGGUAGACACUGUGGACAGGGCAGCCCUGGCUGCCCCCAUUGUCUGCUUGCUGUCCGCAGCCACCACUGGACCUCCCCAGUGUGUGCCCUUCCCUAGGCGUGAACAGGCAGUUCAAAGCUCACAUCAGUGAGGAGCAAAGAGAAAAGGCAUUUUCACUGGGACAGGUUAGCCAGGUGGCCCACUGGAAGGGACGCUUUCUGGCUAAGAUAAAACAUGUGCUCUACAAAGAAUGGUGACUGCUGUGGACCAAAGUGUCGAGUGUUAAAAUCCAUGAGUGUAUGAUUCUAAAAGCAGAACAGGCUGCUAGGAGGCCAACUCAGUAUUCUAGAAACUGGGAAAGUGUCAAGAACCAGUGCAGGCUCAGAGUGGGGUGUGCUGGGCCUGGAGACGCUGUGCAAGGUCCUUAAGCCCUCUGUGCUCGUGUUCUCAUCCCCCAAAUGAAAAUGAAAGUAGCCAGUGUGUUCAUCGUAUAUAUAAAAAUCUGUAUGUAAGUGUAUAUGUGUGUAUAUAUAUAUAUGCAUGCAUACGUGUGUGUAUAUAUAUAUGCAUGCAUACGUGUGUGUAUAUAUAUGCAUGUAUAUAUAAAGCAUCUAUGUGCACCAUAAAAGUUAACCACAAAUACUAUCAUCGCUGCUUUCUUUCCAGUGAGCUGAACACCAUCCCCCACCAUUAGCCCAGACAGUAAGCAAUGACUCCUAUGAUCCCUAGAAGUUAUAGUCUAAAUCCUCUGGCAGCUUCUUGGCACCAUUUUGGUUAGGUGAGCAGGGUAGGUGGGAACCCCAUCUUACAGAGAAGGAAGACUGAGGCCUAGAGAGGUUAAAGAAGAUGAUGAAAAGCCACACGAUGUCGGCAGGAGCACAAAUCGAACCCAGCUCUGGUUUAUAGCAGGCUGUGGGCCAGAGGAGAUGGUGGGAAAUGGAGCCAAGAGGAAGUGCUUGCUGGGUGCCAGGGUUCAAGGAGUACAGGCCUCCCUGGAACGGACACCAGAGCCCUGGGGCAAGCCUGUCCUUUCCUGGUCCUUGGAGCCCUUGUCCUGAGUAGGGCAGGAUUCUGGGAGGUGACCUGGAUUCUAGAAAGCCUGUUCCAGCUGGGCAGCCAGCACUGCAGUAUGGGCAGGACGGGGUGACCCUCUGCCAGCUCAGGCCAAGCCGGGGGGGUUCUGGCAUCAGUCCCUGUUUAAACAAGAGUCAUCAGGUUUUGUGAGGACCUCAGCAGAGUCUGUCCUCAGGCAGGAGUCAUUGAGAGGGGUCCUUGGAGUCCUGGAGCUGUAUUGGAGGGGAUCUGAGGUCUGUGGCUCAAGACAGUCCUUGUAUGGGCUCUCAAGCGGUAGGGGUAUCCUGCAGGGCCCCCAGGAGCAUCACUGAUCACCCCUCUGCCCCUCCCCCACCAGAGCUGAAGAUCCCUGAAAACGCCAACGUCUUCUAUGCCAUGAACUCUACCGCCAAUUAUGACUUUGUCCUGAAGAAGCGGACCUUCACCAAGGGAGUGAAGGUCAAGCAUGGAGCCAGCUCAACCCUCCCUCGCAUGAAGCAGAAGGGACUCAAGAUUGCCAAGGGCAUCUUCUGAGGGCAUCUUCCCAGGGUCUGGCUGGCUGGUAGCCAAGCACUUAUGGACCAGAGUGGCCCAGGCCAGCUGGGCACCUUCCUACCACCUGCCAGCCCAGGGUACCCCAGACUCCAGUUUCAUCCUGAACCUCUCCUGCUGCUGGGAUUGACGCCUGCCAUUGGUCAGGCUGACCUGGCCUCCCGUGGACCACUCGCUGCCUUAGGUGCCUUCUGCUCUCUGGAACCAGAGGACUAGCUGACUUUUGCCAAGGAGCAGUGCCAACGGGCAUGGCAUGGUGCCCUGCCUGCCCCCAGGCACCACCUCUGUACACUUCCCUGACACCUUCCCAGGUGUGGGUCACUGCCACCUGUGCCCAUGGGCACCCCACAACACCCACCCACUCACCCACCGUGUCUGACCGCUGCAGUUCUCUCCUCAUGCCCACGGGCACUGGCCUGUGACCUUUGCAGGGGUCCCGGCCCCUCCCACCACUCUAGCCUUUCUCAGGCUGUACCAAAGAUUCCAUCAUCAGGGCCGACUGAGAGUGAGGGAGUCUCACCCACCACUUACCCCAGCCCUCCCCUGGGAGCAGAGAGAGAAACCCUCUUCAUGGACCAGACUCUGCACCCGGUGAGUGAGGACGGUCCCAGCUGAGUCCCAUAGAUGUUGAAUCUCAUGCCACUGCAAGUGCCAUUCACCACUGCAUCCUGGGCUUUACGAGACCAUGCAAGACGGGGGUUAGUGAGGAAGGAGGAUUUGGGGUGGGGGUGGGGUGACUGAAUAUUUGUAUAAAAAGCAAAAAGAAAAAAAAUGUUUACUGAUUGGGGAGGGGCAAUAUUUAUUUGUUGUAAAUAGCAAAUGUUAGACUUGAAUAUUAUAUUAAAAUCCUGUUUCUACUAUA